UUUCUUUUGACUAAUAAGUGAAAAAUAAGAUAAAUUGUUCUCAAAAUAUUCAUCUGGGGAAAUGAGAAAAUGUAGUUUUUAAAAGUUUUAAAUUCAUCUUCUUUUUGCAUGACUGCAGAGGAUAGUCAGGGAAAGCUGAGAUGCUGGAGCUACAGAAUAAAAAUCUAUGGAGACCAAACAGCAUGAUUUCUGCUACUGGACCUCAUUUGUUGAUGUCUAAUUAAAAGAAUCAUUUGCAUUUGCUAAUGAAUGUGUUUAGCUUCUACUCAAAUAAUUAUUGAACAACCAUGUGAUUUAUUUUAAUCUCAAUUCCCCAGUGACUCACUUUUCACGCUUACUUAAAUAUUACCUUUCAAAAUAAGUGUUAUUAAUGUGUGCAGCACUGUGCAUUAUCUUUCCAUCAUAAUUUAUUUCAUUGAUUUUUUCCUCCCCUUUCUCUGUUUCCCUGUUCCAGCGUUUAUUUAGCAUACUAACUCUGGAUGAGCUUAUAUUCUGGAGAGGACUGCAUCAAAUUCCAGAGAAUCAAGCCUAUUUUUCCAAGAUUGGACUUACCAUCUAUUAUGGAAUUUGAUCACAGUAUCUGGAAAAUGUUUUAGAAGUCAUCAAGUACAUCAAUUACUAUUUUCUUUUGUUGAAAAUAUAUGAGAGAUUAAAUUAAGUUCAAUAUGUAGGAUUUUAUUUUAUUUUAUUUUUUAUUUUAUUUUUUUAAUUUUUAUUUAUUUAUGAUAGUCACAGAGAGAAAG
rnacentral:lncRNA from 1 species